rnacentral:rRNA from 1 species
AGCGGCGGAUGGGUGAGUAACACGUGGGGAACCUGCCCCUAAGUCUGGGAUACCAUUUGGAAACAGGUGCUAAUACCGGAUAAUAAAGCAGAUCGCAUGAUCAGCUUUUGAAAGGCGGCGUAAGCUGUCGCUAAGGGAUGGCCCCGCGGUGCAUUAGCUAGUUGGUAAGGUAACGGCUUACCAAGGCGACGAUGCAUAGCCGAGUUGAGAGACUGAUCGGCCACAUUGGGACUGAGACACGGCCCAAACUCCUACGGGAGGCAGCAGUAGGGAAUCUUCCACAAUGGACGCAAGACUGAUGGAGCAACGCCGCGUGAGUGAAGAAGGUUUUCGGAUCGUAAAGCUCUGUUGUUGGUGAAGAAGGAUAGAGGUAGUAACUGGCCUUUAUUUGACGGUAAUCAACCAGAAAGUCACGGCUAACUACGUGCCAGCAGCCGCGGUAAUACGUAGGUGGCAAGCGUUGUCCGGAUUUAUUGGGCGUAAAGCGAGCGCAGGCGGAAAAAUAAGUCUAAUGUGAAAGCCCUCGGCUUAACCGAGGAACUGCAUCGGAAACUGUUUUUCUUGAGUGCAGAAGAGGAGAGUGGAACUCCAUGUGUAGCGGUGGAAUGCGUAGAUAUAUGGAAGAACACCAGUGGCGAAAGGCGGCUCUCUGGUCUGCAACUGACGCUGAGGCUCGAAAGCAUGGGUAGCGAACAGGAUUAGAUACCCUGGUAGUCCAUGCCGUAAACGAUGAGUGCUAAGUGU